ACUUAUAUUAUAAUUCUCUUAAAAUUUCUUCUUACAGUCCAAAGCUAUUUGCAUGGUAAUUUUUGAUAUAACAUUUUUCCAUGCGUCAGUUUGAAUAAUUUUAUUAACAUAGUUCGUAUAUAUUCAUGAAGCUCUUUUCUAUAUAAAAUCUAUUAAUAACAAACCUUACUUACUCUUUAUAGCAAAUUUUUCUAUAUAGUCGCGCUACAUAUGUUUUAUAUUAAAGUAAAAAACUUUCAGGAAUUCCUCGUAUAAAUAUAUUAACUUGUAAAUAUUUUGCAAGAAAAGAAAAUGUAGCUUAUCAUGUCUGUUUUGGGCAAUUUAAAAUUUUUUGCAAAUUCCUUGAGUUUUUGAACUUCGCUGCAAAUACACUAAAACAUAUCAUAAACAGAGGAAAUAGCCAGUUUCAGGAAGAUUUUCUGGUUUUCACCUGGGUUUUCGACAAAAUGACAAGCGUUUGUACAGAAAGCGUGCGAGCCUCAUCUUGCCUUUUGCGCCAGUAGAAUGGCGCACGAGCUCAAUGAUUCCUCGCUGGGCGACACAGAUUUUAUUUUUAAAUGAACGCUCGUGCUUUGUUAAUUUGUGUGAAAUCGUUCGUUUACAUCCCGCGCGUUUAGCGGGUCGACACGCCCUUUUGUGCCGCUUUCAAUCCUCGGCCAUCCCUAAAAGAUCCUUUCGGCAUGCACCUGUGAGUCCUGGAGCCAGCUGUCAUUCUUUACCUUCUCUCUAACUUCAUUGUGUACAAUUGUGUUCUCUCGCGGCGCUCUUCCACCCCCCAUCUCGGAAACCCCCAAAAAUCAAGUCCCGAUGAAGAUUGCUCAUACAAAAGUUCAGAAACCUGAGAAAACAAAAACAAUUUUCUACCAUUUCCGAGAUCGAUCUUCCAAAAAUCGUCAAGGUCUACAUUCUUUCAGGUGAUCUCCAACCUUUAGUGAUACAUAAUUCACACAGCUUUACCUUCGUUUUAUUUUCAUCCACGCGAGCCAGCGUUAGCACGCAAAUACAGCGAAAGAGGGUAAAAAAGAAAGAGGAGCUCGACGUGGUUCGCGCUGGUACCUUGUUCGAUCUCUCUCUCUCUCUCUCUCUCUCUCUCUCUCUCUCUCUCUCUCUCUCUCUCUCUCUCUCUCUCUCUCUCUCUCUCUCUCUCGGGCACGGGUUUCGCGGGCGGACUUCGAAGUGGCCAGUUAUUUAUGGCUGUGUGUAUUAGAGGUGGAUAUAAACGUCGGUUAUUGCAAACACUUAACAGUCCGUAUAUCAAUCAGACGCCAGCCUGAUGCGCAGCCCCCUCGAGAAAGAGAAUGAAGAGGGUGACGUUGCGCCGCACUUCUUCCCGACGCGCACCUCGCGAGGAGUGCAUCAUCGUCGGCGCAGUUGCAGCGACGCGUUCGAUGCACUCGCUCGACCAAGCGUUACGUGAGUGUACGCAACACCGACGAAAAUGCACGCAAACAUCAACGAUAUCUCUCCCCGACGAUGCUUGUUCACUUAUUUAUUUCUCGGUCAACUGGCCAUCUCGAGAUAACAGUCAGGAUAAUUUAUGCGGGAAGCAAUUCUCAACAUAUUAGUCGAAUUAAAUCAAUAAAAAAUUACGCAUUUAUAGAAUAGACAAAAAUAAUUACUACUGUGCUCAUUGGCGGAAAAGAUUUCGUGUAUGUGUUAGAUUCGCAUUCGGGACUCGUCAACUGUAAGUCUGAUUUUUACACUGACAAUGAGCUAUGCAUAGAUCAUUGAUCGCCAUGAUCAUAAAUGUUUCCACAAAAAUUACGAAAAUAUUUGGAAGGCCAGAAUUAAUCACUCACUUCUUAGAAAUUUCUUUCUUCAUUUGUCUACCUGUAUGUCCACCUAUCUCUUUAUCUUUACUUGUACGUAUCUAUCUCUUUAUCUUUUAUCUCUUUAAUUUACGGGAUUUAGUAAGCUUGAUUAUUUUUAGGUCCUCGGCUUCUUGCACCUACAUUAAUUGUCGCUUCAAUAUCAAGCAGGGGGAAACUUCUCGAUUGCCACGGAUCGCUAUCAAGCCCGAGCGCGGCGAGUGCACAAAUCACGACGUAACGCGCCGGUCUCUUCGGGGCCUCGUCGUAUUUUUCGUCGACGUAAUGUCCGAUGACAGCCGUGGCAGUUAAACGUGCAUCAUCGUCGUAUAUCGACGCGGAUGCCUCGUUGCCUCUGUAUCUAACUUCACCGCUGGACGAUAAGGCCUCUUAUUAAAUAUCCCAUAAAAAGCAGCCGUGUGUUUUCCCGUCCUCUCUCAGUCUCUCUCUCUCUCUCUCUCUCUCUCUCUCUCUCUCUCUCUCUCUCGUCUCUUCUCGCUUUUUUUCCUCUCCGUUUCUCUCUUUUUCCGUCUCUCUGACUUUCUCUGAAAGGAGGAGGAGGACAGCGAUCAUCCGUGAUCGACAUGGAGGGCCCCAUAAACGCGCGGCACGGAAUGUUGGUCAUCGUGCCGUCCCGAGCACGGAAUCGGAAUCGGUGGCAGUACAGCAAAUCAGACAUUUUAUUCAGCAUAACCGCCAAUCGGACCGACAGCUCUUCAUAUGGGUUAUCUCUUUGCUGCAGUGCGUCGCCGCUCUAAAUGCAGUCUUCAAAUGCCGCGUCGAGUCCCGUAGUGGGAAUGCGGUCCCAAUAGCACAGUGAUACUCAAAUCGCGCGAACGUCGCCUGAAUUUGGACAUGGCGACACCAGCUGCGCGUGCAACCGCAUAAAACUAAAUUGCAAAAAAGUUUCCAUUUAAAAUCUUAAAGGUUUUAAAAUCAGUAAUCUUAAAUUAUACAUUAUAUUAAUCAUAAAUACACUUAUAGGAUGUCCUAGUAACUUGUUCUUUCCAAGAAGAAACUUAAUUAAUACAAAAUUAAUUUUUAGACAAAAUACUUGAAAGCAGAUUUAAUUUCUCGAUAGUGUCUUAAUGUCAUUUUUUCCCAAGAACUGUCUGCCAAAUCGUUUUUACGCUGAUCUAAUUAAAGACCUCAAGAUCGAUCACAAGACGUACCACAAGGACCAGUUAGAAUUCAUAGAGUUAAUUAGCUGUGCAGCAAGUAUAUCGAUUUCCCCGAUGUCGCCACUAGUUUUCUGUUCGUCAACACUCGCGAGCACGCUGGUUUGAGAAACGCUGAAUGAGUCCGCCACAUUUCGUCGCUGCCGCAAUUAUACGCCGCGGAUGCAGCGCGCCAUUUGUAAGCGGCAACUCCGAUCCAAGUACGCGAACAACAUAUCGCCGGCGACAUAUUACACGAAGUGUUAUACCGCGGAUAUAUAUUUUGCGCAGGAGAAUUUUCAGCGGGACCAUUGCCGCAUGCCGAUGACGGUCCUCGUCGAAGAAUCGCACCGAAACGCUUCCUCGAACUUUCAAAAGACUGGAGACGCGUCUCGAUCGUCAACUCCUUUUUAUUUCUUUUGCUCUCUUUAAAGGAAUGCUGGAGUGACGGUCAACUUGAACGCGGUCGAUAAUAUAAAAUUAAUGCACAUCAUUAAUAAAGUUGCAAAUCUUUUAUAUCAAGCCAAUAUUAAGACGUGAUAACUCUACACGCCAUCUUUAACUAAGAAAUGGUAAAAAUACCGUGAAUUAUGUACCUGUCGUCAACAUCUCCUUAAAUCGGAGCGAAGAGACAAAUAGUGUAUAGGCAGAUCAAAACCAAGAGAAGAAAGGUAUUAUCCAUCGAUAAAAUCAAACUUUUCAAAAUCCGCGAGUUACAUACCUGGACACCACUUGUAAGAGCAAUUAUGAUCAUAAUUAAUCUAAGAUCAUAAUUAAUCAUCAUUUCUCUGCUAUAUCAUCUGCUUAGCUAUAAGUGUUAAGUCAUAGCUUUGUUGUCAUUUCCUUUCCGACGUUUAUAUUCGACGUCCAAUCGUCCGGAAAUCCCUCAACGCGACCCCAUCGCCUCCUCGAUCCGUCGCCGACAAUAGCUCGCUGCUGGAAAAAGCUAAUCGUACGAUCGUUUGCGAUUCGUUCGCGCCGCGAAUUUACUCCCGUGCAGGAUAUACAUCCGUACGCUUCCGCUGCAACCGCGGCGAGGAUUUAUCGUCUACAACCGCCUCGUUGCAGCUGUACCGUGAAAUCUACGGAGCGCGUGUGUAUAUCGGUCGUUCGUUUUUUUUCGGCCGCCACGUGAGGAGGAGAAAAAAAACAGUUGGAAAGAAACAUUUUUACGAUCCUUCCGCGAUAGAGGAGCGUCACCCUUGACUCUGCAGACGCAGUCCUUUCGCUUGUUCGCGGUAAAAAUGCGAAAUUCGAAAGACUAGGAACUUCAUAAAUCCCAGAUGUGGGGUAACCCAAAAAUCGGGUAGAUCGUCGAACUGUUCGACGUAGAAAAGAGUUAUAAUGCAGGAUGACGGUACGUUCAGAACUUUCCGGCUCCUCAAAAAGUCGGAAUUCGUAAAUAUACACCUUCGUCGACAAAACGAUUAACGCAUCGCGCGGCGGUGCUUCCUCUCGUUACACGCGAAUCGGAACGGUUACGUCCCCUUUUCGCCCAUCCCGGUAGUCUGAUUGUCUAAGCCAUCCAGGGACUCUAGCAGAUCUAAGCCGGACUUAAGCCGGUCGGGUCAGUGAACAUUCACACGCGAACAGCACCGCGACGUUGGAAACAACGAGCAACGGAAUCAGGGAGCCUUGGCUGGCUGGCUGGCUUCAGCUAGCGGUUCGUUCAGAUCUAGAUCCCAGAUUUAACUGCAGAUAUUAAUUAGGCGAGCACUGCUCGCGCGCGCGCGUUCGUGAAUUCUAACGGCCUGCGUAACGGCCAAACGUACAAAUUUCGUCUUCAGACCGAAAGGCGACUUCGCGUGCGAACGGUAGACUAACUCUCAUAGUCUUAGAUCUCUCUCUUUCUUCUUCUUCUCCUUCUCUUCUUUCCUUAGACAAGCGAUUCAUGUGAAAUAAGCUCUUGGGCAUUCAAAGUAUUCAUUCAUAUAUCUCAGGUAUUUGGUGUAUUCAUUGUACGAGGAGGGCAUUUUAAUCCUUAAUCACCGGGGCGCUGUCUAUAAAUUUAUAAGAAUUUGCACGCUAAACCUCUCAUUGCACGCUUCAGCCUUCAUCAAGAUCGGAAGCACGCCUCUGGUGCGCGUUCCUCAAAGGGACUUCCGGUGCACGUCAAUCGGAGCAGACGCGCACCGCGUCCGUCGCAUCAUAUUAUCGCCCGGCGAAGGGAAAAGAGAGGGGGGGAGGGAGGAGGGAGUAGAGUCAAGAGGUGGGAUGACUUUAAAGGGAGGAAGGUAAUUUUCAGAGGUAAUUUCCGAGCAUGAACGCGAGAAUGGGAAGCGCGGCUCGGGUGCGUCUACCGUGUUCCUGUCAUCGACGGAUCGCGCGCUUCGCUAUCUGAUGGUGAUUAUGCGAGAGCGGGGCGUGUGUACAGCUGUGUGUGCGCGCACAAUGUAUAAUAAUAAAAAGGCCGGCGUGUCUUAACGCACGGCCAACAAAUAUGCAUUAGUUGCAUUCGCGUGCACGUCCCGCGAACGCGCUAUGUGAACGUAUUGUGUUAUACCGGGUGACUCCGGAGAAUCUCGAUAUCGGUCGCAGGGAUAGCAUGUCCGUUAGAGACGAGCUGAGAUUUGUCGGAUUUUUCUCCGUUAACCUGAUGCGGGAUGCAUUUCAAACGUUACAUUAAUUGCGAAUGAACGUUUAUAUUUUAAAAAUUAAUUACACUGCCCAAAAAUCUCAGUACACUAGAAAUUUUCUCGCGUUUCAUGAAAAACAAAGUAUAAUAAAUCUUUAAAAAUUAUAGAAAAAAUUUGUGCAAAAAUCAAGCAUGUUUAACAUUCUUUUCGUUAAAUUUUCUUUAGUUUCAUAGUUAAGAACCAUUUUAUAAGAAAUAAGUUUUUUCAGAAAUCGAUAUCGUUGCAAGAAAUCACACUUAUUUUUAAGAAAAAAGCACUUUAAAGUUUAGAUAAAAAGCUUCUUAAAACUAAUUUUUUUAACUUUUAUUCAAUAAUGUUCAAUAAUUUCAUUAAAUUCAAACAACACUUCAAAGUAAAAAGAAUAUUAAGAGUAAAAACACCAAUUUUUUAACUCUAUGUAAUUUAUUAUAGAAACAAAAAUAUCGUAGAGAAAAUAAAAGACAGAUUCAAAGUUUUAUCUUUCCUCUUUAAAAUGCAUUUUUAAAAAACUCCUCUGCGAUUCUUUUAAUCAAGAUGCUUAACUCUUCGUAAGAUAAGAAAAAAAUUUCAAACGUGUUAAAACCUUUGAGCGAUAAUACAUAUCCUUUCUCUGUUUAAACACUCUUGAUCUUUAAUCAGGAAAAAGUCUUUUGAAUUACAACAAAUGAAAUAUUUCUGAAUAGAAGUGAAUCUUCCGUUGAACUUCUUUUUCAGAGAAAAACGUAAAAAAUGAAACAUGCUCUUGGUGAUACACUCUACUUCUUUACGUUUCAUUUUAAAUUACAAAUAUCUCACUGAUGGAAAGUACUGAUUAAAUUCUUUCGCCCUAAAAAAGGGAAUGGAAAAAGAGGAAAGAGAAGUAGCAAAGUUGAAUUUGAAUUCUCAUCGAAGAAUGCAUCUUGGCUAUAAAUUCUCAUUUCGUCUUUCUAGCCACCCUGUAUUUAUCUUUCAUAGGAAGUCGGCAGAAACUUUGUGGCGGGAAUCAACCACGCGAUAACCUGGCGUCUCUGAUUAGUAAUUAAACGCAUGACAGCCGACCGCGUUUUCAUCGCCUGCUUUUUCAUGAUUUUUCUAUUCACUCUCUUUAUCUCUUAGCCGAAUCUCCUUUUCGGAAUUAAAACUUUUACUGUAAUUAUUCCCGACAAUUUGAUUUAAGAUUUAAUUGCAAUGCAUUUAGCAUAAAAUCUCAUACUGACCGCGAUACCAUCUUGCAAUACGCACCUCGACCAUUUAGACAGUUUUUUAUUAAUCUUUGUCUUACACUCGAAUACAACAUGUACAUUCUUAAUUUUGAAUUAUUAGAUUUUUAAUAUGCUUUAUACAGCAAAUAUAAAAUUUGCCAUUUUUUUAAUAAGAUAAAAUGAAUUUCUUACAAAUUUCAAACCAUUAGUUUUCUUUAAACCUCGUUUUUACUAAUGUAAUUUAAUAUAAGUUUAACUUACUUUUUACUCUUUUUAACUCUAAAAAUCCUUAGAGCUAAAAAGAUAGAAAGUAAGUCAAAUCGAAAUUUUAGAGUUGAUCAGUAAAGGAGACAGAAGCUAUAUGGCAUCAUCACUUUAGUUUAAAACUUAUUGAAAAGAAAACUACUAAAAAUUAACAACGAAUGCUAUCCAGGAGUUUACAGAAUAAUCACGAAUCUGCUUUCAGAUUUUAAAAUACAAAAAGCUGAUUUAAUAUGGCGGAAAAACUUUUAUGUUUUUCAAUUAAUUACUCUAAAGUUUUGAUUUAGUAAGAGUUUGUAAGAUCGCUCAUUAUAAAUUAUUUUCUUUCAAAUUUCCAAAAUAAAAAAUAACAGAUUUAAUGCAACGAACAUUGAUAUUUUUUAAUUGCUUUUAAAACUUUGCUUUUACAGGUUUUUUAAGAUUGCUGAUUAUGAAUCUGCAAUUAGAGUUUCAAAAUUUAAAAUGACGGAUCCAAUAUAGCAGAUAAAAGUAGCAAAUUGAAAAAUUACAUCUUUUUACAUGCUUUUUUAUCAUUUUGUAACGAGAAACCGCUCUGAGCGAAACCAAAAUCACGACAAGAACAUGCCGGUAUUCAAUCCCAUUUUUUAUUUUUCCUUGUUUUUUAUUUUUUCUAUUUUAAAUUUUAAAAUUGGAAUUGCAAAUUUAAAUCAUACAUCAAAAACAUUUAUGGAUAAUUUCUGAACCUAUUAAAAUGUAUCAAAAUUUAUCAUUUUUGUCUGCUAUAUUGGAUCCGCCAUUUUGGAAAUUUCAAUAAUAACCAUACAGACGUAAUUAAAGACCUCAAAAAUUCGUAUAACCAAAAUUUCACAGAUUUUUAUAAAAAAAA
rnacentral:lncRNA from 1 species